rnacentral:rRNA from 1 species
UACGUAGGGGGCAAGCGUUGUCCGGAAUCAUUGGGCGUAAAGCGCGUGUAGGCGGCUCGAUAAGUCUGCUGUGAAAGUCCAGGGCUCAACCCUGGGAUGCCGGUGGAUACUGUCGAGCUCGAGUCCGGAAGAGGCGAGUGGAAUUCCUGGUGUAGCGGUGAAAUGCGCAGAUAUCAGGAGGAACACCAAUGGCGAAGGCAGCUCGCUGGGACGUGACUGACGCUGAGACGCGAAAGCGUGGGUAGCAAACAGG